rnacentral:rRNA from 1 species
AUUGAACGCUGGCGGCAUGCCUUACACAUGCAAGUCGAACGGUAACGGGCCUUCGGGUGCCGACGAGUGGCGAACGGGUGAGUAAUACAUCGGAACGUGCACGCUCGUGGGGGAUAACGAGGCGAAAGCUUUGCUAAUACCGCAUACGAUCUACGGAUGAAAGCCGGGGACCGCAAGGCCUUGCGCGGACGGAGCGGCCGCUGGCAGAUUAGGUAGUUGGUGGGAUAAAAGCUUACCAAGCCGACGAUCUGUAGCUGGUCUGAGAGGAUGAUCAGCCACACUGGGACUGAGACACGGCCCAGACUCCUACGGGAGGCAGCAGUGGGGAAUUUUGGACAAUGGGCGCAAGCCUGAUCCAGCCAUGCCGCGUGCAGGAUGAAGGCCUUCGGGUUGUAAACUUCUGUUGUACGGAACGAAAAGCCUUCUUUUAAUACAGGAGGGUCAUGACGGUACCGUAAGAAUAAGCACCGGCUAACUACGUG